UUCUCUAAUUAAAAUUUCUUUAUAAAUCUGGCAUCAUCUUGGAAGCUAAGCAAGGUCGGGCAUGGUUAGUACUUGGAUGGGGAGACCACCUAAGAAGACCGGGUGCUGCAGGAG
rnacentral:rRNA from 1 species